AUUUAUCUCAAUUUUCUCCCCGCCUCUUACAUGCUUUCUCAAGCGCCCUGUUGAAAGCUUGCCGCCGUUGAAGGCUCGUAGCAGUUGAAGGUUCGUCGCCGUUGAAGACUCACCGUUAUCGAAGGCUUUUCCGCAUUCUGCCGUUGCCGAACUGUCAAAGGCUUUACCACCAUCGUCGAAGGUUCGCCGCUGUCGAAGGCUCGCAGCCGUCGAAAGUUCGUCGCUGUCUCUCUAAUUGAGUUGUGGCAUUGCUACUUAUAGCACCGCACAAGCUGAAAUGCUGCCAUUUCUUUGUUUUUCAGCACUCAGCAGAGCUCAGCGCUGAAACACUGGAGGAGCAGGCUUCAGUAUUGGAGAAAGAACUGAGCUUGAAAGGAAGGGAAACUCUUGAUGUGUUGAAAGAAUUGGCUAGACCGUGAGCAGUAUAUUGCACUAUAAAAAUAGUUCAACCGCACUGUACUAUAACUGAACUAAAUUUAGUUCAGUUCAGUUACUCUGAACUAUUUUUUAUUUCAGUGCAGUUUUCCUAAACUGGUUUAUAGUUAACUAUAAACUUUUAUAGUGCAGUGCACUAUAGGACAGUUUGCCCACCCCUAGUUGUUGGCCAUGGAAGCAGCAACGGUAGCAACCUCUUCUCUGAAGAAACUGAAGCGGAAGCGCAACCUGGCAAAAAGCGAUCCUGAACUCGAACGACUCAACUCACUUCCGUGGAACUCUUCUCUUCCUCAAAACGAUGACGAUGACGCUUUCUCCUUGUUCAUUGGCACCAACGAACUCGAAGGAGGUUUUCUUUCGCUCGAGGAGAUUGAUGAGGCGGAGUAUGGUUUGAAUAUUCCUGAGCCUGAAGAUGGCAAGAGGAAGACGAAGAAGAAGUCUAUACAGAAUGAAGAUGUGAAGAAACAACAGCAAGAUGGAGGUGAUGGUGCUAGUAGUGACGAGGUCGAAGCUGAGUUGGACGAGAGUGUGAAGGCUAAAGAGAAGAAAAAGAAGAAGAAGAAGAAGACGAAAAAGAAGGAUGCUACGGAUGGCCCGAAAGUUGAGCAACCAGAUGCUGGUUUAGAUGCUAAUGUUGAAGAUGGUAAAGGUGAAGAGGACAAUGAUGAAGCUGAAUUUUAUGCAUGGAGUGAGUUGAGGCUUCACCCUCUCCUAAUGAAAGCAAUAUGCAAGCUUGGCUUCAAGGAACCAACACCAAUACAGAAGGCUUGCAUUCCAGCUGCUGCUCAUCAAGGGAAGGAUGUUGUUGGGGCUGCAGAGACCGGAUCUGGUAAAACAUUAGCGUUUGGUUUGCCCAUUUUGCAACGCAUUUUGGAGGAGAGAGAAAAGGACGCAAACAUGGUUGAAGAACCUGGAAAGUAUUCUCCUAAAGGAGUUUUGAGGGCUCUCAUUAUUGCUCCAACUAGAGAACUUGCACUUCAGGUCACUGAUCAUCUGAAAGCUGUUGCAAAGUAUAUUAAUGUUAGGGUGACCCCUAUAGUUGGGGGGAUUUUAGCAGAAAAGCAGGAGAGACUUUUAAAAGCAAAGCCUGAGAUUGUUGUCGGAACUCCAGGGAGGUUAUGGGAACUUAUGUCAACUGGAGAAAAACAUCUAGUUGAGUUACAUUCACUCUCUUUCUUUGUGCUUGAUGAGGCCGAUCGGAUGGUACAAAGUGGUCAUUUUAAGGAGUUGCAGUCUAUAAUUGAUAUGCUUCCCAUGUCCAACAUCUCUACUGAUGAUAAUUCUAAAAAUGUACAAAAAGGUUGUGUUACAGUUUCUAGUUAUCAAAGAAAGAAAAGACAAACACUUGUUUUUUCAGCUACUGUUGCACUGUCUGCUGAUUUUCGCAAGAAGCUAAAACGUGGCUCAGGUCAAAAAAAGCAAUCAUCAACAGAUGGAUUGAAUUCUAUCGAAACUCUUUCUGAGCGCGCAGGAAUGAGAUCCAAUGCUGCAAUUAUUGAUCUUACUAAUCCAUCUAUAUUAGCAGCUAAGCUUGAGGAGUCAUUUAUUGAAUGCAGAGAAGAAGAUAAAGAUGCAUAUUUGUAUUAUAUUUUGACUGUCCAUGGACAAGGUCGCACCAUAGUUUUCUGCACGUCAAUUGCAGCUUUACGUCAUAUUUCUUCCAUAUUACGGAUUCUUGGAAUCAAUGUUUGGACUCUUCAUGCUCAAAUGCAGCAGCGAGCACGAUUGAAGGCCAUUGAUCGCUUUCGGGAAAAUGAAAAUGGCAUACUUGUUGCUACAGAUGUUGCUGCCAGGGGUCUUGAUAUUCCUGGUGUUAGAACUGUUGUCCAUUAUCAGCUUCCACAUUCAGCAGAGGUUUAUGUUCAUAGAAGUGGAAGAACAGCCAGAGCUUCCGCCGAAGGUUGUAGCAUUGCUUUAAUAUCACCAAAAGAUACGUCCAAGUUUGCUUCACUGUGCAAAUCAUUUUCUAAGGAUAACUUUCAGCGGUUUCCUUUAGAGAACUCUUACAUGCCAGAGGUCCUAAAAAGACUGUCUCUUGCACGACAAAUAGACAAGAUAACAAGGAAAGAUUCCCAGGUAAAGGCUGAGAAAAACUGGUUUGAUCGGAAUGCUAGCUCAGUUGAAUUAGUUACUGAAAAUUAUGACAGUGAAGAGGAGCAAGUGAACAAACAUAAGGAAAUAAAGGCCAGCUCUAGACAAUUGAAGAAAUUGCAGGAGGAGCUCAAAAUGCUGAUUUCUCGCCCAUUACAAUCAAAAUCAUUUUCACAUCGGUAUUUAGCAGGGUCUGGUGUCACACCCCUCAUGCAGGAGCAAUUGCAACAGUUAGCAAGGCAAAAAUUAAGUGAUCACCAGGGUUCUAGUCUAGGCAAAAAGGGAAAAUUGGUUGUGAUUGGUCAAGAUUGCAUGGAUGCACUUCAAGCUCUUCGAAGUGGUGGUGAAGAGGUGCGAAUGGAUAUCAAGGAGUUGGCCGGAAAACAGAGAAAUAUAGAGAAUUUAAAAAGAAAGCGAAAAGAGGAGAAAAAACGUUUGCGUGAUCAGCGUAGAAAGCAGAAGAAAAAGCUAAAAUACGGGGAUGAAUAGAAUUGUAUACAUAACAGAGCCAUUAGAUUGCUGGCACAGAGUCUUGGGACCUUCGGGGGGUUAACAUAGCUCGGAAUUUGGCCUGAUGUGUUUACUCUUCAUUAAGCAAAUGCUGAAUAUUUUGAACAACAAAUCUAGGUUCAAGUAGGUCGAAAGAGGGAACAUGUGGAACACUUUCAUCCUGAAAAUGUACUCUAUCAUUAUAAGGUAAUGGCAUCUUUAGAGCCUUGAAGAGACUACAUUGGCAGUUCUGAUCGGAAAUUGUAGGCAUUAAAAACCCCUACAAAGGUCAAAUUAUAGCUUUACCAACCCUCAAAUCAUUCCCCUAGUUUUUCAUCAUGAGCCCAAAGAGGAUUCCCAAUCGCUUCUUCCAUUGAAUCCUCCAGGGCACCAACUGCUACUUCAUGUUAUGUGCUCUUAUUUAUUAUGUAAGUUUUACAAAUAUGCAACAUGAUCUAAAUCAUAAUUAUAUUUUGGAAGUUGUCCU